rnacentral:rRNA from 1 species
CGCUGGCGGCACGCUUAACACAUGCAAGUCGAACGGGAUCUUCGGAUCUAGUGGCAGACGGGUGAGUAACGCGUGGGAACCUGCCCAGUAGUAGAGAAUAACCUGAGGAAACUUAAGCUAAUACUUUAUACACCCUUCGGGGAAAAGCUUUAUGCGCUAUUGGAUGGGCCCGCGUUAGAUUAGUUUGUUGGUGAGGUAAUGGCUCACCAAGACUACGAUCUAUAGCUGGUCUGAGAGGAUGAUCAGCCACACUGGGACUGAGACACGGCC